rnacentral:lncRNA from 1 species
UGGUUGUCCUCUUAAUCAAGGAGUGUGGUGAUACUGGUAUGACAUACAAAUGAGAUAUAGGAGUAUAUCGUCACUAAAUAGAUGACUCACCUACGAGCAUUCUGUUGUCAAGAGCUGCUCGCGAAGCACAUGGAUAUAAGUAUUUAUCAGACCUGAGAUCACCAUAGUGACUUGCAAGUAACUCACUGUAUUUUGGUGUCGG